rnacentral:sRNA from 1 species
UUUCAAUAAAAUUAUUUUAUCGGUUUUCUCAUACUCGAAGAUGUUUUUCUGUAAUCUUAACUCAAAUAAUGAGUGUAUAGUAGUCAUGAAUUAUUUAAUAGUUUGAAUAGUUUGCAGAUUUUUAUAUAUACUAGAUUUUAACCCACGGUAUACUGCGGAGACAAUUUAUUUUUUUUAAAAGUUAGUAUAUAUAAAAGUUUGCAAAUUGUAUCUAUCUAUAAAAUAUUUUUAUUUUAUAGUUUACAAUUGUUAUUAAAUAACGUCCCGCCAAUCCGUCCCGUAAAAAAACCUAUUUAUUUUGUUAAUGUUGAUCUUAUUUAUGAUAUGUUUAUGAAUCAUUGUUUAAAUAUUUUGUAAUUUUGUAGUAAUUAACUGUUAUCAAAUAUUUCUACGGUUUGAUGCUUAUAAUCGAAUUGUUAUAGUCAUGAAAAAAAC